CACUUUCUAAAACAAAGGAACCAAGUAUCAGAGUCCAUAAAUAAGGGAACCAAGAGAUUUCGAUAGUACUUGAAGACAUGGCCUCUCUUAAUAUAGUAGACAGAUUGACACAGGACAGAACCCAAAGGUCACCAAGAAGGGGAGCAGAAGAGAUGGAAACUUUGGACUAAGCCACAUAUGAAUAUGUUCUUAUUCUACCUGGCUAAUUUUUUAAACUAAUUCAUAUAUAAGAAUAAUUAAACAUUUGCAUCAAAACA
rnacentral:lncRNA from 1 species